rnacentral:rRNA from 1 species
UACGGGGGAUGCAAGCGUUAUCCGGAAUCAUUGGGCGUAAAGCGCCUGUAGGUUGUUUAAUAAGUCUGUUGUUAAAGACUAGAGCUCAACCCUAGAAAAGCAAUGAAUACUACUAGACUAGAGUAUGGCAGGGGUAGAGGGAAUUUCUAGUGUAGCGGUGAAAUGCGUAGAUAUUAGAAAGAACACCGGUGGCGAAAGCGCUCUACUGGACCAUUACUGACACUCAGAGGCGAAAGCUAGGGUAGCAAAAGGGAUUAGAUACCCCUGUAGUCCUAGCCGUAAACGAUGGAUACUAGAUGUUGAACAGUCGCUGCAGUAUCAAAGCUAACGCGUUAAGUAUCCCGCCUGGGAAGUAUGCUCGCAAGAGUG